GUUGAGUCUGGAAUUAUGACAGUUCUUGAUCCACUACGCAAGCCGUUUGCUCAUGUGAAGAGAGCCAAAAAUCGUCUGUACAUUCUCGAGGUGCAGCAGACAGAGCCAGUGUGCUUGCAGGCUGUACACGGCGACGAAGCGUGGCUAUGGCACGCAAGGUAUGGGCAUGUGAAUUUUCACUCAUUGAGAAAACUUGCUAGUGGAGACAUGGUUCGGGGACUGCCACUGCUAGAUCAUAUUGAGCAGGUUUGUGAGGGAUGCAUGGUAGGAAAACAACGGCGAAACCCAUUUCCUGUACAUGCCAAGUUCCGGGCAGAGAAGCCACUUCAGUUAGUGCAUGGAGAUUUGUGCGGCCCCAUUUCGCCGGCAACACCAGGAGGGAAGAAGUACUUCCUCCUCAUGGUUGAUGACAUGACGAGGUUCAUGUGGGUGAUACUUCUCAGGUGCAAAGAUGAAGCAUUUGAAGCUGUGAAGAAGUUCAGAGCUGCAGCAGAGAAUGAAUCAGGACAUAAACUGAAAGUACUUCGUACAGAUCGAGGAGGAGAGUUCACCUCAAAUGAGUUUGCUGUUUACUGUGCCGAGCUGGGUGUGAAGCGACACUUGACGGCACCUUAUUCUCCUCAGCAAAAUGGAGUGGUCGAGCGGAGGAACCAGACCAUUGUG
rnacentral:rRNA from 1 species